GAUCCUGGCUCAGGACGAACGCUGGCGGCGUGCUUAACACAUGCAAGUCGAACGGAAAGGCCCUGCUUGCAGGGUACUCGAGUGGCGAACGGGUGAGUAACACGGGGGUGAUCUGCCCUGCACUUCGGGAUAAGCCUGGGAAACUGGGUCUAAUACCGGAUAGGAGCCAUUUUUAGUGUGAUGGUUGGAAAGUUUUUUCGGUGUAGGAUGAGCUCGCGGCCUAUCAGCUUGUUGGUGGGGUAAUGGCCUACCAAGGCGG
rnacentral:rRNA from 1 species